UGAGGAAUAUUGGUCAAUGGGCGCAAGCCUGAACCAGCCAUCCCGCGUGCAGGAUGACGGCCCUAUGGGUUGUAAACUGCUUUUAUACAGGAAGAAAAAUCUCUACGAGUAGGGACUUGCCGGUACUGUAUGAAUAAGCAUCGGCUAACUCCGUGCCAGCAGCCGCGGUAAUACGGAGGAUGCAAGCGUUAUCCGGAUUCAUUGGGUUUAAAGGGUGCGUAGGCGGCUCUUUAAGUCAGUGGUGAAAUCCUGUCGCUCAACGGUAGAAGUGCCAUUGAUACUGAAGAGCUUGAGUUCAGUUGAGGUAAGCGGAAUGUGUAGUGUAGCGGUGAAAUGCUUAGAUAUUACACAGAACACCGAUUGCGAAGGCAGCUUACUAAACUGACACUGACGCUGAUGCACGAAAGCGUGGGGAUCGAACA
rnacentral:rRNA from 1 species